GCAAUACACAGUGGCGCACGGGUGAGUAAGGCAUCGCUAAUCUGCCCUGGAGCCUGGGAUAGCCAGUCGAAAGAUUGGGUAAUACCAGAUGAGACCACGAACCGGCAUCGGUUUGUGCUCAAAGGUUCGCCGCUCUGGGAUGAGGCGAUGUGGUAUCAGGUAGUUGGUAGGGUAACGGCCUACCAAGCCUUCGACGCCUAGCCGGACUGAGAGGUCGGCCGGCCACAUCGGGACUGAGACACUGCCCGGACUCCUACGGGGGGCUGCAGUAAUGAAUCUUCCGCAAUGCACGAAAGUGUGACGGAGCGACGCCGAGUGAAGGAUGAAGUCCCUCGGGAUGUAAACUUCUAAAACCUGUUAGAAAGUUCUGAUCGACAGGCUAUAAGUGGCGACUAACUCUGUGCCAGCAGUCGCGGUAAUACAGAGGCCACGAGCGUUAGGCGGAAUCACUGGGCUUAAAGCGUGUGUAGGUGGAUGACUAAGUACCUUGUGAAAUCCCACGGCUCAACCGUGGAACUGCUUGGUAUACUGGUUGUCUUGAGGCACUCAGGGGCGAGCGGAACAGAUGGUGGAGCGGUGAAAUGCGUAGAUAUCAUCUGGAACGCCAAUGGUGAAGACAGCUCGCUGGGGGUGUACUGACACUGAGACACGAAAGCCAGGGGAGCGAACGGGAUUAGAUACCCCGGUAGUCCUGGCCCUAAACAAUGUCCACUAGGUUGUGGCACCACUGACGGUGUCAUGGCCGAAAC
rnacentral:rRNA from 1 species